UUCUUCUGCUCAGUAGGAUGUAUAUCAACAAGAGGAUGAGCACACCAGCUCACUCAAAACUUUAAGGAACCCACCUGGACGCGGUGGCUCACGCCACCUGUAAUCCCAGCACUUUGGGAGUUCGAGGUGGGCAGAUCACCUGAGGUCAGGAGUUCCAGACCAGCCUGGCCAACAUGGUGAAACCCCAUCUCCACUAAAAAUACAAAACUUAGCCGGGCAUGGUAGCGUGCACCUGUAGUCCCAACCACUUGGGGAGGCUGAAGCAGGAGAAUCACUUGAACCCGGAGGCAGAGGGUGCAGUGAGCCGAGAUCAUGCCACUGCACUCCAGCCUGGGUGACAGAGCAAGACUCCAUCUCAAAAAAAAACACGAGACAAAACAAAAAACUUUCAGGAACCUACUCACCUGCCUAAUUAGUGGAAAUGUUUCUGGGGCCACAGGGCCACAAUGCACAGUUGCACACGUUGGGCACUGCCCAACCCAAAAGGAGUACAUUUAUACAGACUUGGACAUGACUGGCAUCUUCCCGAGAAUCAGGCAGUGUGUAAUCUGUGCGGUGGCGCCUGGCAGUCAGGCUCAUCAUGAAAUUGCUGUGUUUCUAAGUAAAAGAGCUUCUUGAGAAGAGACAAGGAAGUUUGUGAGAAACACGUCAGCUUUCGUGGCCUCUGAAGGUCAAGUGAAAUCUGGCGUUUAAACAGAGGCCAGAGUCACUUGCACAUCCUGUGUUUUCUUUCUGAGAAGAAAAGCUUGGCCAGGGAAAUGUCAGCUCCAAGGUACACCCAGCUGGUUCACUGCAAGACGACCACCCACGUUGUUCUGUCUUCACAUAUUCCAGGCAGUGGGAAGUCUCACCGGGAUUAAGGCCACCACCCUCCCCCCACUGCCGCCUCCCCUGUCAUGCACAUGGGGGAGGGCCUGACUCCUCUUAGCCCGGGCAGACCACCCUACUUUAUUUGGCCUUGGGGCCAGCGGACAGGCCUUCCAGGGCUGCCACCUUGGUCCCCAGUGGCACCGCACUACACACCAGGCAUCUGCAGUCGGCAUGACUUUCUCCGGGAUUGCACAAACAGGACCUCUCUCCAGCGACUCCAUGGAGCAGGUCUCGAGAGCCCCAGACCUAGGUUUCAAUCUCAGCAGUGCCGCUGGCUGACCAUGGGACGUUCGGCAAGUCACUUUACCUCCCUCAGCCUCUGCUUUUAUCUCUGCUAAGUGGGAACUAGGAGACUGACCUCUCAAGGCUGCCAGAAAGGACAGAGGGGUGUGUAUAGAGUCCCUGGCCCAUCCUUAGGGAGAUGAGGGGAAAAACGUACACCCACUCGCACAUUCACACACACACACACACACACUCCUAACCAGGUUUUUUUUUUUUUUGAGAUGGAGUUUCCACUCUUGUUGCCUAGGCUGGAGUGCAAUGGCGUGAUGAUCACGGCUCACUGCAACCUCCACUUACUGGGCUCAAGUGAUUCUCCUGCCUCAGCCUCCCAAAUAGCUGGGAUUACAGGCACCUGCCACCACGUCCAGCUAAUUUUUUUGUAUUUUUAGUGGAGAUGGGGUUUUGCCAUGUUGGCCAGUCUGGUCUCAAACUCCUGUCCUGAGGUGAUCCACCUGCCUCGGCCUCCCAAAGUGCUGGGAUUACAGGUGUGAACCACCGCACUGGCCCUAAUCAGGUUUCAAAUCCUCCUCUACCCAUCCUAGGCCAGCCUGUCUCACUGAUUUUUUUGUUUAAGAACAAUAUCUAAAAUGCAAAAAAAAAAAAAAAAA
ensembl:lncRNA